rnacentral:rRNA from 1 species
CCAGACUCCUACGGGAGGCAGCAGUGGGGAAUAUUGCACAAUGGGGGGAACCCUGAUGCAGCGACGCCGCGUGGGUGAAGGAGCACCUCGGUGCGUAAAGCCCUAUCGGCAGGGAAGAAAAGCGAACAGGUUCGCCUGGACGGUACCUGACUAAGAAGCCCCGGCUAACUACGUGCCAGCAGCCGCGGGAAUACGUAGGGGGCAAGCGUUAUCCGGAUUUACUGGGUGUAAAGGGAGCGUAGACGGCAUGGCAAGCCAGAUGUGAAAUACCGGGGCUCAACCCCGGGACUGCAUUUGGAACUGUUAAGCUGGAGUGUCGGAGAGGCAGGCGGAAUUCCUAGUGUAGCGGUGAAAUGCGUAGAUAUUAGGAGGAACACCAGUGGCGAAGGCGGUCUGCUGGACAGCAACUGACGCUGAGGCGCGAAAGCGUGGGGAGCAAACAGGAUUAGAUACCCUUGUAUG